rnacentral:rRNA from 1 species
AAUUUGUUAAAAGUGAAUUGUUAAUUGUUGAAGGUUCUGUCUUGCGGACAGCGGCAGACGGGUGAGUAACGCGUAGGAAUCUACCUCUAGGUGGAACAUAGCCUUCCGAAAGGAAGGGUAAUUUUCCAUAGUUCUCGUAAGAGUAAAGGACUUAACGGUCCGCCAAGAGAGGAGCCUGCGUCCUAUCAGCUAGUUGGUGAGGUAAAAGCUUACCAAGGCAAUGACGGGUAGCUGGACUGAGAGGUCGAUCAGCCACAACUGCACUGAAACACGGGCAGUACAUCUACGGAUGGCAGCAACUAGGAAUAGUUCGCAAUGGACGAAAGUCUGACGACGCGACGCCGCGUGAAGGAAGAAGGCCUAUGGGUCGUAAACUUCUUUUGAUAAGCCGUUCACAGCUUAUAGAAUAAGCCUCUACUAACUACGUGCCAGAAGUCUCGGUAAUACGUAGGAGGCAAGCAUUAUCCGGAUUUAUUGGGCGUAAAGUGUGCGUAGGCGGUUUGAUAAGUCUAUUCUUAAAUACCGAAGCUUAACUUCGGAAAUGGAUUAGAUACUGCCAAACUUGAGGAUUGUUAGGGAUGCUAGAACAGUUAGUGUAGCAGUGAAAUGCGUUGAUAUUAACUGGAAUACCAAAGGCGAAGGCAGGCAUCUGGGAUUUUCCUGACGCUGAGGCACGAAAGCCGGGGGAGCGAAACAGAUUAGAGACCUGUGUAGUCCUGGCUGUAAACGAUGUCCGCUAGCUAUCACUCGCAAAGUCUACGACUUUGCGAGGACAAUUGACAAAUUGACAAUUAACAUUUAACAAUAAGGAACUUUCUUUAUAGUUAAUUUGUUAAUGUUGUUAAUUGUUAAAUGUUCUCGCAAAAUCUUCGCAGAUUUUGCGAGUGGUGGUGUAAGCUAACGCGUUAAGCGGACCGCCUGGGGAGUACGGUCGCAAGACUAAAACUCAAAGGAAUUGACGGGGACCCGCACAACCGGUGGAGCGUGUGGUUCAAUUCGAGACAAAACGAAGAACCUCACCAAGGUUUGACAUACUAUCGUACAUUUCCCAAGAAACUGGGAGAAAUCCGCAAGGAUGAUAGUACAGGUGCUGCAUGGCUGUCGUCAGCUCGUGCCGUGAGGUGUUCCCUUAAGUGGGGAAACGAGCGCAACCCCCGCCAAAUGUUAAAUAAUCAUUUGGGACUAUCCUGUAUUUUAUACAGGGGGGAAGGAGGGGAAGACGUCAAGUCAGCACGGCCCUUAUACCUUGGGCUACACACACACUACAAUGGCGAAUAACAAAGGGCUGCAAGCGCGCAAGUGCAAGCCAAUCCCUAAAAUUUCGCCUCAGUUCAGAUUGGGGUCUGAAAUUCGACCCCAUGAAGUCGGAAUCGGUAGUAAUCGCGGAUCAGCAAGCCGCGGUGAAUACGUUCUCGGGUCUUGUACACACCGCCCGUCAAGGCAGCAAAGUCGGGAGUGGCCGAACACUUCGCAAGAGGUGGAGGCCAAAUUUGGCGAUGAAGCUUAAGUCGUAUAAAUGUUGCGACC